rnacentral:tRNA from 1 species
UCCCUUUUAGUCCAGUUGUUAGGACUUGGUAUUGUCACAGCCAUGGCCCAGGGUUCAAUUCCUGGUUGGGGAA